CCUACGGGGGGCUGCAGUGAGGAAUAUUGGUCAAUGGGCGAGAGCCUGAACCAGCCAAGUCGCGUGAGGGAGUACUGCCCUAUGGGUUGUAAACCUCUUUUGUCGGGGAGCAAAAGCCGGACGUGUCCGGCUGUGAGAGUUCCCGAAGAAAAAGCAUCGGCCAACUCCGUGGCAGCAGCCGCGGUUAUACGGAGGAUGCGAGCGGUAUCCGGGUUUAUUGGGUUUUAAGGGUGCGCAGGCGGGUUUUUAAGUCAGUGGGAAAAUCGUGGGGCUCAACCCCAUCCAGCCGGUGAAACUGGGGAUCUAGAGUGUGCGAGAGGUAUGCGGAAUGCGCGGUGUAGCGGUGAAAUGCAUAGAUAUCACGCAGAACCCCGAUUGCGAAGGCAGCAUACCGGUGCAAAACUGACGCUCAGGCACGAAAGCGUGGGUAUCGAACAGGAUUAGAUACCCCAGUAGUC
rnacentral:rRNA from 1 species